GACGUAGGGCGCGAGCGUUGUCCGGCUUUAUUGGGCGUAAAGAGCUCGUAGGCGGCUUGUCGCGUCGUCCGUGAAAACCCACAGCUCAACUGUGGGCUUGCGGUCGAUACGGGCAGGCUAGAGUUCGGUAGGGGAGACUGGAAUUCCUGGUGUAGCGGUGAAAUGCGCAGAUAUCAGGAGGAACACCGGUGGCGAAGGCGGGUCUCUGGGCCGAUACUGACGCUGAGGAGCGAAAGCGUGGGGAGCGAACAGG
rnacentral:rRNA from 1 species